rnacentral:lncRNA from 1 species
ACACACAAUUUAGACCUAACCAGGAACGGUUGAGAAAAAUGCAACAAUAUAGUUCCUCUGGCAGGAAUCAAACCUGCUGCCAUGAGAUUCCGGUGCAGUGCUCUAACCAACUGACUUAUACAGAGGCCACUUGUUGAGCUGUAACCACAACUUCAUGUAUAUAUAGAUUUACGGGUGUGUGGGAAGGUGAACUUGAAAGAUGUUUUCGUACUUAUAAUUCCAGUGUGUAUAUUAUAUGCUCACUUGGAUUAUUCACCAAACCCAGCAUUCUUGUAGUUCAGCAGUGGCGGAAAUCUUGGGGGGUGCACCCCCCACACACAAAUUUGACCUAAAAGAGGGCCUUUUAGAGAGGCCCACCGAGGGUGUGACCCAGGUUGCUUGUCACUCAUUUUGUAGCUGCUUUGUCGCUUGUUUUAUUGUAAUAAAUGUCGCUGUCACUUUUGGCCCAUAACACAAAUCAGAAUUUGUCGCUUUUUCCUAGCCAGGAGAUGUCAUUUAUUGCUCUUUUUUAGAUAGUCUGUCACCUCUUUUUAAGGAAUGUCGCCUGUCGGUCAUAACCCCUUGGUGGGCCUCUUUAGAGUGCAAAUGGGGGGGUGGGGGGGGGGUCAGAAAUUUGAAAGUUUUGUUGGAAAUUUAGGAGGCUUUGCCCCCCCCCCCCCC